AGUGGGCGAAAAAAAGGUCCGAGAGCCGGACCUGGACUUGCUUCAUUCUCAGGCUGGGGUUGGGUUCUUGGGGGACGUGAAGCUUAAUGGUUGGUGUAAGGUUUAAAAUGGAGAGAAGAUAAGAUGGAAUGGAGGAGAGAAUCAGCUCACAGUAAGCGAUUAAGAGAAGAGAGAAAUGAACCUACCGCAUAAUUUACAGAAGGCAAGACAAUCUUUACAAAGUGAAGUGAAGUUCCACUGCAAGAAAAAUUAUGCUGGGAAUCUGGUCAGAGUAGUUCCCAGAUGGCCAUGGUACUGGGUAACAGCCUCAAGCUGGGCUCAUUUUGCAAGCUGGUGGAAUAACUCCUAGGAAAUCAAAGACUUCCGGGAAGACUUCUGGCACAAAAAAAGAACCUGCUUCCAUGCCCCACAUUGCAAUGCAGGACUCUGAUCCCUGUGUGAAAAGGAAUCAACUGACCGCUUUCAACUUGGAGGCACAUUCUGAACCCGGGAGCCAGAGAGAGCGUUCCAUGUAGAAAGAAGAUGAGUUGAGGGGACAGAGAUGAAGUUUGGGGGAGGAUGAGGUACUUGGAAGUUGUGGGGCAGAGUUUCAAAGAGAAGGAAAAGCUCCAUUAAUCUGCACAGAUAUCCUUUUGAGGUUUUGUUGAAUACUAAGAUGUGAAUGUGUAGGGUGGAAGGCAUCAUAAGAUAAGGCAACGAAUAACCAAAAACAUGUAAGAAUUCUCAGUGGAAAUAUCUGAGAUUCAAGUAGCCAGAAGAGUCUUCCUUGAUCACUGGGAGUAUUCAGUAGAGAACGCAAAAAAGUCAUACCUUAGUAGUGGGGCUAAAUUACCAUGAGUGAAAAGUAUUGUACAGCUGCAAUGACAAAGUUUAAAUACAAGUCUCAAAAUGUGAAGCUGAUCUGCAAGAACCUUAACUUGCCUGUCAGAAGAAGGACACACACACUUGAAAAGAAAACUGCAAAAUCCAGAUACUCAACAAUAUGAAAUUCAUAAUGUCCUGCAUCCAGUAAUAAAAAAAAAAAAUUACUACACAGAAUCCCAAAUAGGAAAAUGUGACUGAUAACCAGGGAAAAAUCAGUCAACGGAAACGUAAUAAAUGACACAGAUGAAGUAAUUAACAGGUCCGGGAUUUUAAAACCCCUCUUAUAACGAUAUGUCAUAGUCGAAACAGAUCUAGACCGUCUGGGCACCCUGCAGAAUAUCGUAUCUGUCCGCUGCACCCAUGACAUACUGAUCAGGCAGGGUGAACAAGAGGCAGCUAACAGGCUGCAAUCUUUGGUAUGACGCAUGUGCUCUCGGGAGUGGGUGAUGGACCCUAUGAAAAUUCGGGGACUUGUCCCUUCAGUAGAGGAUUGUAGGGGUCCAGGGGUGUAUCCGGGUCAUGGUCUCCAAGGCAAAAACAAAUUGCUGCAUCUUGCUUUUGUUAUUACAAAGAAGGAAGCCCAGUGCUCAUUCUACCUUUUUGUAUUCUGUAUGCAACCUAUUCUACCUAUGCAUACUGCCUCAGCUGUAUACUGAGUGACGUGGAAGGAAGGCUGCCAGCUUUGAGUGGGGCCUGGAGCAGAAAAGCACGCUACAGCAGACAGGGCUGGCUACGUUGUAAUCUGUGGGGCCCAGGGUGAAGUAGUGCAGAAAAAAAGUGCCAUGAAAUGUACUAAAGUAUAAAGCCUUUCAUUUUAAAAAUACUGUAUUACUGGGGCACCUGGGUGGCUCAGUUAGUGAAGUGCCUGGCUCUUGAUUUCAGUUCAGGUCAUGAUCUCAUGGUUCGUGGGUUUGAGCCCCACGUUGGGCUUCCCAUUGACAGCAAGAGGCCUCCUUGGGACUCUCUCUGUCUCUCUAUCUCUCUCUCUCUGCCCCUCUCCCGCUCACAUGAGCACAUGUUCUCUCUCUCUCUCUCUUAAAUAAACUUUAUAAAAAAAAUCUUGUAUUUACUAACAAGAUGCAGUGGGGGUUCUAGUGAUACUUGAGUAACACCAUAAUCUUACAAACUGCAAUUAAUAUUUUUGGCAUUAUAAUUUAUAUAUCCUAUAAAUAACAUUUUAUUAACCUGAUACCUUGACUGCUAAUAUGAUUUUUCUGGCUUGCUUUCCUGCAAAUUCAUUUCUUAGGCCAUCAAAAUGUAUACUUUUAGUAACUUCAUUUUCAUUUGAUACAACUGAAAGCAAUGUCAUUUGCUCUUAGCAAAUGCAUGAUUGCAAAUAAUUGUUAAUAAUUUUUAAUUUUAAGGAGGCUCUUUCUUCCAACAUAACUAUUACUGAAGCUGUUAAUGGUAUUUUAUAGGCUGCAUAACAAAGGGAUAAAUUAUUGAUAGAUUAUUUCAAAAUAGAAAGUUUGUCAUGUGGAACUGAAUUCUUGUGGACUAAUUUUUCUAAAAACAUUUAAAUCUUAUAGAUCAGUUUUAUUUAGAUAUUAAUUUAAUUGUAAACGUAAGCCAAAAAUUAUUGUAAUUUUGCAAUUGUAAAAUUGUUACUGGUAUAAUAGUUACACUGUAAUGUUUCCUUUGACAUUUCCUAUAACUUGUGGAAGGUGUACAAGAAACCUCCAGCAGCUUCAAACUUUAAAAUAUUUUUUAACGUUUUAUUAUAUAUUUUUUGAGAGAUAGAGCACGAGCAGGGGAUGGGCAGAGAGAGAGGGAGACAAAGAAUCAGAAGCAGGCUCCAGGCUGUCAGCACAGAGCCUGAUGUGGGGCUAGAACCCAUGAACCAUGAGAUUAUGACCUGAGCUGAAGUUAGAUGCUCAACGGACUGAGCCAACAGGGUGCCCCAGCUUCAAACUUUUAUAUACAGCAAUUCAAGGUGCCUGUCUAUUCAUUCUAUCACAGCAUCUUCAAUUAUAAGGCAAAAUUACUUUUAAAUUCUUUUCAUCAUUAAUAAUUGGUUCAUCUGGACUUUCACACGAAAAUGGUGUUAUUUUCUAUUUGUAAGCUUGUGGAUAUUUGUUUUGCCAUGUUGCGGAAGUUUUCUAAACUCCGAAGAAUUCUAAACUCUUAACUCUAAUAAUUCAAUGAAUUCUCUGAUUUGUUUUAUUACGAUGUUCACAUGUGUGCUUUUAUUUCAUAAUAAUUUGCUGGCAAAAUGUAUUGCCUGAAAGCAAGCAGUUCCCAUCCUAGCUCUCAAAUAUUUGUGCAAAUACCACAAAGAUGGGAUCUGGGGAGCAGAUGGGGAUCCCCACAACAGGUCCCAGCCUUGGCCUUGUGUAGAGCCUCUUUCCCUUCCUGCUGCUGUUGCUACCACUGCUGCUUCUCCACUGUUCUCUCUGCUGUUGCUGCCUCCAGUUUGGGCUCUGGUCUUUUUCUGACCCUUCUGGGGCCUGAGACUCCCUGGACCGCCCUGAGGCAUUCCCUGUGACAAUUGCUUUGUGCCUGGCUGCUGCUUGUGGCAUCCUUUGUCCUGGUUUAUCUCUUCUGCUUAUGCAUGUCCCAUUGCACUUUAUUUUCAAAACACAAGUUCAAAGAUAAAAUUGUUAGUAAUUUCAAGGUGGUGACCACAAAGCAUCAGGCCAGGUGUGGGUACCUUCUCAGAAUGAUGCUCUGUGCAACUACAGGGUUCACAUCUUAAAGUCUGUCCUGGUGGCAGAUCCAGCCCCGUGACGCAUGUAAGCCUUCUGCUUGGGCCAUACACUCUGGCAGACCCUAUGGUAUUCCGGGUGCAGGGAUGAGAAAAGGUGCAAUGUGGAACAAGCCCCAGUGGGAAAAUGUUAUCUGCAGCAGGAUUACGCAUCUUUUGAAAAAUAACUCCCGGUGUACUGAGCCCUGAUAGAGAUGGAACUCUUGGCCAUGAGACACCAAAUGACCAUGCGUCCUGUACUGCCCACCAUGAGUUGGGUCCUCUUGGAUCUACCAAGUUGAAGUUGGUUAGGAUCAGCAGUAAUUUCACAUAAGAUGAAAUAUUACCUCUGGAACCAAGCAUGAGCAAGACUAGAGGGAAUAAACAAUUGCAUGAGUAGGUAGCCCAGACUCUCAGAUUGCUCCGCAGGGUUACUGGAGUACCCCUCUCUCAGCUCAGACCUCAGGUACUGUAUGACCAGCCAAAGGAGGAGGAGAAAGUCAGAGCCUGGUUUAUGGAUAGAACAGCUUGGUACAUUCAUGCAAGGUGGAAAUGGAUGAUGAGUUGCAGCCUCACUUGGGGCUGGCCUUGAACGACAGUGGUAAGAGAAAACCGUCCUAAAUGGGCACGGCUUUGGUGCACCUGACCAUCCAGGUUGUGUGGCAAGGGAAGUGGUCUGACAUUAGAAUAGUAUAUGCAUUCAUUGGUAGUGGUGAAUGGCCUUGGCUGGUCCCGUCGUGGGUAUGGAAGGAGAAUGACUGGAAGAUUGUAGAUAGGGAGGUCUGAGGUAGAGGCAAAAGCAUGGACAUCUAGGAACAGGCACAAAGUGUGAUGAUCUUUGUGUGACAUGUUUAUGCCCACCAGAAAGCACUCGCUAUGGAAGAGGCACUAAACAAUGAAUUAUACAAAAUAGCUUGGUCAUUUUAGGUUAACCACCCUUUGUCAGUGGCCACCUAAACGUUGGCAUGGUAGGCACCGCACGCUCAAAGAAUGUCACGUGAUUACAGGUGGGCUAGCAGAAGUUUGGCUCCCAGCUGAUACGCAUUGAGCAAUCACAGUUUUUUACUAUUACGAAGAAAAAGUUAUGUUCUGUCACUUGGAAAUCUAGUGUAACAAUCAUUAAUUAAACAGUAAGAUUAGAUCUCCAAAGUUCCUCUUAACACGAAAUUUCAUGACUUAAAUGUCAUUCAUAAUUAAUAGCCCUUAUUUUUAAAUGUUUAUUUCUGAGAGAGAGGGUGUGUGCACGCAGGGGAGGUGCAGAGAGAAGGGGACAGAGGAUCUGAAGUGGGUUCUGUGCUGACAGCAGAGAGGCCAACACGGGGCUUGAACCCUUGAACCGUGAGAUCAUGACUUGAGCCGAACCAACGAAGUCUGACUUAACCAACUGAGCCACUCAGGCUCCCCUAAUAGCCCUUGUUUAUUGACUAACUACUAUGUAUCACUAUGUAUUUCCUAAGGUCUAUCGAAGGCUUGAUGGUUUUUAAAAGUAAUAAAAUCCCUUUUAAACCUGGCAUCCCAGCUUUUUGGAUUGAAAAAUAUGAGUCUUCCGCAUGUCUAGUUAUUAAACUGAAAACGGAGAUUAUUGUAGUCCAAGCAUAUAAAUAAAUUGUAAUCAGCAAAAAUAAAGAGCAAAAAUGAGCUUCCAUGAGCAGAAGCUGAAACCAA